CUACGGGUGGCAGCAGUGGGGAAUAUUGCGCAAUGGACGAAAGUCUGAUGCAGCAACGCCGCGUGGAGGAUGACACAUUUCGGUGCGUAAACUCCUUUUAUAUAGGAAGAUAAUGACGGUACUAUAUGAAUAAGCACCGGCUAACUCCGUGCCAGCAGCCGCGGUAAUACGGAGGGUGCAAGCGUUACUCGGAAUCACUGGGCGUAAAGAGCGUGUAGGCGGGUAAAUAAGUCAGAAGUGAAAUCCAAUAGCUCAACUAUUGAACUGCUUUUGAAACUGUAUACCUAGAAUGUGGGAGAGGCAGAUGGAAUUUCUGGUGUAGGGGUAAAAUCCGUAGAGAUCAGAAGGAAUACCGAUUGCGAAGGCGAUCUGCUGGAACAUUAUUGACGCUGAGACGCGAAAGCGUGGGGAGCAAACAGGAUUAGAUACCCCGGUAGUC
rnacentral:rRNA from 1 species